rnacentral:tRNA from 1 species
GUCCCUUUCGUCCAGUGCUUAGGACAUCGUCUUUUCAUGUCGAAGACAGGGGUUCGAUUCCCGAAAGAGAUC